UCGAGUUCGGUACUCUUCAGUACCUACUCCCAUCACAUGUGUACCCAUCUUGUUGCUUUGGCGGGUCGGGUUUUUCCCCUUUGGCUUUGCUAAAGUGUACCCGCCAAAGGUUUUUAAAUUCUAUGUAAUUGAAAUCUGAGAAAAAGUUUAAAAUUA
rnacentral:misc_RNA from 1 species